rnacentral:rRNA from 1 species
AACGGCCGUACCAUGCUGAAUAUACCGGUUCUCGUUAGAUAACCGAAGUCAAGCAUCAUUGGGCGCGGUCAGUACUUGGGUGGGUGACCACCUGGGAACACUGCGUGCCGUU